AAACAUAAAUCAGUUUAAGCAAAUAAACGAGGUUGUUUCGUAUUGUAUUAAAAUACUUUGAAAUAUGUAUUAAAAUACUUUAAAAUAAUGUGAAAUAUGGCCAUAUUGUAUGAACUUGAUCCUAACCUACUCUUGCAUUAUGCGGUUCAAGAAAAUAGUAAAUAUAUGCCACAAUGCAUGUGGAAAACAUUCAAAUAAUGUAAACUACAACUUUGGCCUAGAUGUUAUUACAAAAAGCACCCAAAUAAAAAUUAAAUAAACACUUCUAUAACUGAAGAAAAUCUUCCUGACGUUAAUAAAAACAAAAUCCUUUCAGAUAUAUGUACAUAAGAAUCAAACAUUCAAAAAUAAAUAUUCAAUUCAAAAUAUUACAAAAAUUUAAAAUAAAUUCAAUUUCAAUAUUACAGAAACAAAAAUAAACAAACACACUACUAGCACAAAACAAAACUAAUACAAAUACACCAAAUAAAAAUAAUAUUGUACAUGUGGUUACCAUUGAAUAAGAAGUACAGGAAGGGGUGUUUAUCCAAAUAAGUGAAGCCGCUUUUUAUUAGUACUGAAAAUUGUUUUAAAAUCAUCAAGAUUAGCUGAAACAUUGGCGGUCAAUGAUUGUAUCGCCUUGUCAUCACCAAUAAGAGUAAGUUCGCCCAUGGAAAAAGAGCUCGAAAUUUGACAGAUUAUAUAAAAUUUUUGACAGUUUAUAUAAAAUUUAUUUUUUUUUUUAUUUUUUUGUGGCUUCACUCGCCAACUGUAUAGGUGUGAUAUACACCCCUUCCUGUACUUCUUAUUCAAUGGUGGUUACUUAGUAACCAAAAGUCCUUUUCAGGGAUUUUUCGGCUAUCGAAUACACAAUCCUAAAACGAUUGUGGCGCCACUCCUCAAACGAUUGUGGCGCCACUCCUCAAACGAUUGUGGCUCCACCCCUCAAACAUAGCGGACGUUUUUUCCGGUGUCACUUCUAUAUAUAAUUAUUCAAUGGUACUAUUUUUUCUCAAGAAUUAAACUAAAUUUAAGUCUGUUCGUUAAAAAAAAGUAUAAAAAUGAUUAUUAAAAUCACAUUACAAUCUACUACAAAUUUUAUACCAUUAUUUCAGCUAAGAAUACACUGGUUAACAAAAUUUAACCUUUUUUUUGCCACAAGAACCAAAACAUACUUUUCUAGUAGUUUUUGGGGUGCUGAAUCCGAAUCUGAAGUCAGAAAAAUUUGAUUGGCCUUUGUUUUUGAAAUAUUACCGUUAGAAAAUGUCAAAAAACGUAAUUUUGGCUGUUUUCGAGGUUCUGUUUUUAU